UGGUGAAAAAAACAUGUCUUAUAUUUUAGAUUCCUCAAAGUAGCCACCCUUUGCUUUUUUGAUAGCGUUGCAAACCCUUGGUGUUCUCUCAAUGAGCUUCAUGA